GGGUUGUGAGGUUAAGCGACUAAGCGUACACGGUGGAUGCCCUGGCAGUCAGAGGCGAUGAAGGACGUGCUAAUCUGCGAUAAGCGUCGGUAAGGUGAUAUGAACCGUUAUAACCGGCGAUUUCCGAAUGGGGAAACCCAGUGUGAUUCGUCACACUAUCAUUAACUGAAUCCAUAGGUUAAUGAGGCGAACCGGGGGAACUGAAACAUCUAAGUACCCCGAGGAAAAGAAAUCAACCGAGAUUCCCCCAGUAGCGGCGAGCGAACGGGGAGCAGCCCAGAGCCUGAAUCAGUGUGUGUGUUAGUGGAAGCGUCUGGAAAGGCGUGCGAUACAGGGUGACAGCCCCGUACACAAAAAUGCACAUAUUGUGAGCUCGAUGAGUAGGGCGGGACACGUGGUAUCCUGUCUGAAUAUGGGGGGACCAUCCUCCAAGGCUAAAUACUCCUGACUGACCGAUAGUGAACCAGUACCGUGAGGGAAAGGCGAAAAGAACCCCGGCGAGGGGAGUGAAAAAGAACCUGAAACCGUGUACGUACAAGCAGUGGGAGCACGCUUAGGCGUGUGACUGCGUACCUUUUGUAUAAUGGGUCAGCGACUUAUAUUCUGUAGCAAGGUUAACCGAAUAGGGGAGCCGAAGGGAAACCGAGUCUUAACUGGGCGUUAAGUUGCAGGGUAUAGACCCGAAACCCGGUGAUCUAGCCAUGGGCAGGUUGAAGGUUGGGUAACACUAACUGGAGGACCGAACCGACUAAUGUUGAAAAAUUAGCGGAUGACUUGUGGCUGGGGGUGAAAGGCCAAUCAAACCGGGAGAUAGCUGGUUCUCCCCGAAAGCUAUUUAGGUAGCGCCUCGUGAAUUCAUCUCCGGGGGUAGAGCACUGUUUCGGCAAGGGGGUCAUCCCGACUUACCAACCCGAUGCAAACUGCGAAUACCGGAGAAUGUUAUCACGGGAGACACACGGCGGGUGCUAACGUCCGUCGUGAAGAGGGAAACAACCCAGACCGCCAGCUAAGGUCCCAAAGUCAUGGUUAAGUGGGAAACGAUGUGGGAAGGCCCAGACAGCCAGGAUGUUGGCUUAGAAGCAGCCAUCAUUUAAAGAAAGCGUAAUAGCUCACUGGUCGAGUCGGCCUGCGCGGAAGAUGUAACGGGGCUAAACCAUGCACCGAAGCUGCGGCAGCGACACUAUGUGUUGUUGGGUAGGGGAGCGUUCUGUAAGCCUGUGAAGGUGUACUGUGAGGUAUGCUGGAGGUAUCAGAAGUGCGAAUGCUGACAUAAGUAACGAUAAAGCGGGUGAAAAGCCCGCUCGCCGGAAGACCAAGGGUUCCUGUCCAACGUUAAUCGGGGCAGGGUGAGUCGACUCCUAAGGCGAG
rnacentral:rRNA from 1 species